UGAGAACUGACAGGUUCCACUCAUAGA
rnacentral:piRNA from 1 species